rnacentral:rRNA from 1 species
GACGAACGCUGGCGGCGUGCUUAACACAUGCAAGUCGAACGAAGAGCGAUGGAAGCUUGCUUCUAUCAAUCUUAGUGGCGAACGGGUGAGUAACGCGUAAUCAACCUGCCCUUCAGAGGGGGACAACAGUUGGAAACGACUGCUAAUACCGCAUACGAUCUAAUCUUGGCAUCGAGGAUAGAUGAAAGGUGGCCUCUACAUGUAAGCUAUCACUGAAGGAGGGGAUUGCGUCUGAUUAGCUAGUUGGAGGGGUAACGGCCCACCAAGGCGAUGAUCAGUAGCCGGUCUGAGAGGAUGAACGGCCACAUUGGGACUGAGACACGGCCCAGACUCCUACGGGAGGCAGCAGUGGGGAAUCUUCCGCAAUGGACGAAAGUCUGACGGAGCAACGCCGCGUGAGUGAUGACGGCCUUCGGGUUGUAAAGCUCUGUUAAUCGGGACGAAAGGCCUUCUUGCGAA